rnacentral:misc_RNA from 1 species
AACCAUAGAAACCUGCGGAGUACCUGCGGAAGGAUCAUUACAGAGUUGCAAAACUCCCUAAACCAUUGUGAACGUUACCUAAACCGUUGCUUCGGCGGGCGGCCCGGGUCCUUCCCGGCGCCCAUCGGCCCUCGCGGGCGCCCGCCGGAGGUAAACCAAACUAUUGCAUUGUAUGGCCUCUCUGAGUCUUCUGUACUGUAUAAGUCAAAACUUUCAACAAUGGAUCUCAGAUCGGAAGAG